rnacentral:rRNA from 1 species
CCUACGGGGGGCUGCAGUCGAGAAUCUUCGGCAAUGAGCGAAAGCUUGACCGAGCGACGCCGUGUGCGGGAUGAAGGCCUUCGGGUUGUAAACCGCUGUCGUAGGGGAGGAAGGCUCCGUGAAGAACGGGGCUUGACCUAUCCUAGGAGGAAGGACGGGCUAAGUACGUGCCAGCAGCCGCGGUAAUACGUACCGUCCAAACGUUAUUCGGAAUUACUGGGCUUAAAGGGUACGUAGGCGGCGCUGUCAGUCGGGUGUGAAAUCCCUCGGCUCAACCGAGGAACUGCGCCCGAUACUGCAGUGCUUGAGGGAGACAGAGGUAAGCGGAACUGAUGGUGGAGCGGUGAAAUGCGUUGAUAUCAUCAGGAACACCGGUGGCGAAAGCGGCUUACUGGGUCUCUUCUGACGCUGAGGUACGAAAGCUAGGGGAGCGAAGGGG